AACUGAACUGUUACACCUACUUACAACUGUAAGAUCACUGGCGCAGCAGCGGUUUGAACAACAGGCAGUUGUACUGUCACGACUACUGAGCUCACUACAACACCCAACAUGCCGUUCGUCGCAAGGCCAAGGACUCAGCCAAUCAUACAUUCACACAGGUAUUGACAGCACCUGUGUUCCAUUCCAUAAACCUGUUGGGACUUCACUUACAUUGCGAAGUAUUGCCACUAGUUUUGACUGUACAUACCGAGCGUUAUUUCAUUAAUUGCUUUCCUGUGUUUCGACUGUGUGUUUUGCUCUCCGGACUUCUGAUUUUUGCCUACCCCUUCUGUAUUGUUUGCCUGGUUUGUUAUUGCUCUUUGGUUUUUGGACUCAGACUGUUUACCCUCAUGAUUUGGAUUAUCCCUGUCUUGGCUUGCUUGGUUUCGACUCUGGAUUAUUCACCUAUCACGACGCUAGAAUAAAAUAAACCUAUCUACAUCUG